rnacentral:rRNA from 1 species
GCAAGUCGAGCGAGAGUUUAUUAGAGCUUGCUCUAAUAAACAAAAGCGGCGAACGGGUGAGUAACACGUUGGUAUCUGCCCCCAAGUCAGGGAUAGCCAUUGGAAACGAUGAUUAAUACCGGAUAGUCUCUUCGGAGUAAAGAUUUAUUGCUUGGGGAGGAGCCUGCGUUCUAUCAGCUUGGUGGUAGUGUAAUAGACUACCAAGGCUAUGACGGAUAACUGGUCUGAGAGGAUGAUC